rnacentral:rRNA from 1 species
CACGUAGGGUGCGAGCGUUGUCCGGAAUUAUUGGGCGUAAAGAGCUCGUAGGCGGUGUGUCGCGUCGGCCGUGAAAACCUGCAGCUUAACUGUGGGCUUGCGGUCGAUACGGGCAUCACUGGAGUUCGGCAGGGGAGACUGGAAUUCCUGGUGUAGCGGUGAAAUGCGCAGAUAUCAGGAGGAACACCGGUGGCGAAGGCGGGGUC